rnacentral:lncRNA from 1 species
UCAGAAUAUACUUUGCUGAAGGGAGGAGGCUUUUAACUGAAAGUCUUCUCUCUACGUUUUUAUGUCUCUAACAGGAAUCCACUGAAGACCUACAUUUCCCGGAAGGUUAACAGCCCCCUUCUCAGUUUUCCUGGUAAAGUGUUUUUAUAUUGGUAGAAUACCUUCUGUCACACUCUAUAUUUUUCUUAUCUCAAGUAGAAAAAAAUUUUGCCCUUUUGCUUGGGACUGUUAACAGCCCUGGUAGUGGAAAGUAGAAGGAAAUGAUUCUGUGAAUUUUCUGUAUAUAAAUUUAAUUCACAGUUGGGCAGGGCAUGGUGCCUCACACCUAUAAUCCGAGCACUUUGGGAGCCCGAGGCACGCGGAUCACCUGAGGUUAGGAGUUCAAGACCAGCCUGGGCAACAUGGUGAAACCCCGUCUCUACUAAAAAUACAAAAAUUACUACUCGGGAGGCUGAGGUAGGAGAGUCGCUUGAACCCGGGAGACAGAGGUUUCAGUGAGCCCAGAUCGCGCCACCAUACUCCAGCCUGGG